CCCCCCGCCGCCUCCUUCCCCCGCGGCCGGCGAGGCCGGGCCGCGCUCCCCGGCCGCCCCCCGGUCCCCGCUCACGCUCCACGUCGUGCAGCUUGGCCCGCUCCUCCUCCAGCUUGCCCUUCAGGCUCUCCGCCUCGGUUUUCAGCGACGCCAAGAUAUGCAAACUUGGGCCUUCUCAGCCCCUGAAAAGGACCAAUUUCCAAGACUCCAAAGGCAGCAAAGAACAGCUCCCUGUCUCAGCAACUUCUGCUUGUGGGCAGAGAGGGAACGUGUGCGAUGUGCACAGAGCGGCUCACGUUUCCAGAGGAAGAACAGCAGCAAAUAACCUUGCAACUUUUUGUUCCCUGGGAGUUCCUUGAAAAUGUCCUUUCUUCACAAAUUGUCCUUGAUCUACACGGAAUAACUUUGCUCAUAUUGACUCUCAUUGUCUCCCUUUAGCCAGAAAAUAGACAAUCAAAUGGCUAUUGUUCAACCUGGAGAUGUUCCAAGAUUAGAAAAGGAGAUAAGAAAAGUGUUUGCAGCUGUUGUUUAGACUCUGGGCACAUCCUGGACAUAGUACAGCCUCAGAGAAAGUAAGUCCUUUCCCACAGGGGCUUAGCAGCAGUGUCACUGACCAGGACUCAUGGGCAGACCUGUUGAGCUCUUCAUUGUAAAUCUGCAGGCUGAAGUCAGGCCUUGGUCUGGCUUUAUGCUCAAGGUCUGUUUUACAGAAGCUGGGCCACUUAUCUGGAGAGUGAAAUACAGUGAUUGCAUUUCCAGUUUUCCUCCUGUCCACAGAAGCAGGUGCAACAACCCUACCAGUCUGAUGGCCAUGUAGGCAACUCUGGACUUACUUUGAUCCAGUUACAUUCAGUAUCAUAAAAGAAAAAGGAGACAGUAUACUCAGUGGAGUUCACAUACUACUGGAUAUGCUUUCAUUAAAAAUAAAAACAAAACUUACCAGCAAUCGUCUAAAAACCCUAUGAUAGUAAAUGCCUUGUUAACACAUCAGAAUUUACCAUGUUUAACCUGAAAUGGCAGUUCAGUCCACGGCAGUGGACAAAAUAUAGGCCCUCUUAGUUUGUGCUCUGAUUUCAGAUGAGUUUCAAAACACAUCAGCACAGGCCAAAAGGCUGUGAAAACAUCCUGUACAGGAGGUAUGGUAUGCGGACUGUGUGGAAAAGAGUAGUAAGUAACUGAACUCUGUAAUGUUAUGAUCCAUUAAUUGUGCACUAAUGACUGGUACAUGAAAGUGUUUGUUGCUGUCACUUUGUACUGAUCAGCAUUCCCUAGAAAACCGAUCACUUACAAACUGUCUGCUAUGUCCUCAGAGGCAGUGAGCUUCCAUGUUGCCCAGGAACAAGGACAGCUUUGUUUUAAGACAGGUUUUGACUCUGACUCUUCCCUAGGAACCAAAGGCAUGAUGACCCUUGGCUUCAAAUAUUUUGAGGCUAUUUUGAGGUAACCAUUCUGAAAGUAGUCUGUUUUCAAUAGAGCAUUAUUCUGUGGAGCUGCUACAGAAGAAUUCAAUCACCAAGAAUUGUGGCAAGAACAGUCAUUACCACAACCGCAAACCUACCUUCCAAGUGUGGCAAAUGCACCACAUUGUGGUGAUGGGAAUACAUGCGAGAAAGCUGGUACUAUUCCAUGCUGGGGAAAUGGAAGGUCUGACUGUGUCACACAUUGCUGACUAUGUCAAAAGGUACAGUUUCUUAACGAGGAUUUCAUUUCCUCACCAUGUUUUCCACAGGAAAAAGCCUGUAUGGAUGUGCAAUCUUAGAUGGCCACAACUGUUUGAACCUUGUGAAUUCAAGGACAUGACUUCAAGAUUUUGAGGGCUUUGUGACACAAACUCUUUUGGAUUGAGUGGCUAAGUAAUAAUCACAGCUUGGAGUUAUGAAGAACAUUGAAGAAGAACUGGACUAACCUCGUAGCUUUUUUCAAGCCCUCAUACGCAAACCACAAUUCUCCAUCUUCAUUUAAGUGUUCCAAAUCCUCCGUAGACAGUCUAGAAUUAAAGGCAGUACCAUUAGUGUGCAGAACUCUUCAUGGCCCAAGAGAAUUACUUUCAAGCAACUUGUUGGCAGUACAAUCAUGCUUUGCCUCUCCUCAGCUAUGGAGGAAGCAUCUGACCUAUUUCUGCUUAUGAUUCCAGUCGCUGAACUCUGUAUGAAAGCUGGAUAUUUGAUACAAACCGCCGAAUAUUCUGAAAUCUGCGCCUGGCAAGCCAUGCACGGGCAUAUUUCUGAAGGAUCACAGCCUUGUGUUCUUCAAGCAUCUUUAAAAUAAAAGAUUAACAUAUGUCUGUAAUUAUCCGUGGCUCAGUCAGCAUCAAGUAAAGCGUUCUGUGA